ACGGAGGGUCCAAGCGUUAUCCGGAAUCAUUGGGUUUAAAGGGUCCGUAGGCGGGCUAUUAAGUCAGAGGUGAAAGUUUGCAGCUCAACUGUAAAAUUGCCUUUGAUACUGGUAGUCUUGAGUUAUAGUGAAGUGGUUAGAAUAUGUGGUGUAGCGGUGAAAUGCAUAGAUAUCACAUAGAAUACCAAUUGCGAAGGCAGAUCACUAACUAUAUACUGACGCUGAUGGACGAAAGCGUGGGGAGCGAACGGG
rnacentral:rRNA from 1 species